AGUAACGCGUGGGCAACCUGCCUUAUACACGGGGGAUAACAGCUGGAAACAGCUGCUAAUACCGCAUAAGCGCACAGCGGCGCAUGACGCAGUGUGAAAAACUGAGGUGGUAUAAGAUGGGCCCGCGUCUGAUUAGCUGGUUGGGAGGGUAACGGCCUACCAAGGCGACGAUCAGUAGCCGGCCUGAGAGGGCGGACGGCCACAUUGGGACUGAGACACGGCCCAGACUCCUACGGGAGGCAGCAG
rnacentral:rRNA from 1 species